rnacentral:lncRNA from 1 species
AAUCAUGUAGUAACCCAAAAAGUGUUGGUGACUACCAGUUGGUUGAGAGAAUGCCAAAGGUGUGCAAAGCUGUCAUCAAGGCAAAGGGUGGCUACUUUGAAGAAUCUCAGGAAAUGUACAUAGUGAACUUGUACACAUUGUAAAUACGUAAAUACAAUUCACUAUUUCAGAACGUGGCCUUCCUCCUGCAUGUCAAUAUCAGAAUGGGAAGAAUUUACAUUCUUGAUCUCCCCCUAUCUACAAGUGUAGCGAAUGACAAUACACCUUGUAAGCAUCUUAAUUGAACCAACCAAUUGGAAUACAUUAACAUUGUAUACAUACACGUAUUUCUGCAGAACCAAACUUUUUACAAAGUCACAGAUCACAAGGACAAAAGCUGAAGAGCAAACGCGCAUCCAGGUGCUUUCCACAGGUGCUGGAGUUGUAUACAAAACGCAUGGAAAACAGAAUGAAAAACGGCAGAUCAGAAGGAACCAUGGAAGUGUUUGAAAUCUGACCAGAGGUCGAACAGCUCCAGCCCCACAAUGGUCAAAGGACAGUUGGGACAGAAGCUUAAAACUACUGAUUGGUGGUAGCUCUCUGAUUGGACACUUGACACAAGUGACCUGAUUCAACAGAUAAAAAAAUGCAGCACAAUGUCAGUCGUGACAAAUGAAAGAAAAGCUCUCUAAGGCAAUUGUAUUUACAUUAGAGUGGUAUAGGUUUCACCUCUCCUCUCGUCCUCUCUGUCCAGUCAACGUUCACCUGAUAGCAGGAAAACCACUGAACCGUUUGUCAGUAGUAGAGUUGGUUACAUUUAAUUGUCUCCUGUGUGAUGAAAUGACAACAACACAGAGAGAGAACCUGUUUUAAAGGAGUGUGUAAAACACAGGGACUGCCUCGCCAUGCCCUGAGGCAGAGUAACAAUGUCACCAGGGGUGGAUUCAUUAGUCCAAAACGUUUUACAACAGAAACCGUUUACUCCAAACGGAAACCAUUGUGAAAUGAAAAGAGUUUCUAUUGGACAAGGUGAGGUAAAUCCCACCCCCUGUUUCGUUCCAUAUGCUUCCGUUUGGUUCUGUUUUCUUCCUAGUGAAUACACCCAAUGUAUCUAUCAGGUUUAAGGUAAUGUCGCUACACGGCCACAAGCCAUCAAGGAAGUAAUCAGUCAGAUUGGAUGUCCAGUGAAUGAAGGUAAGGGAAAGACGUGACUGGCACUGAAGGUGUCACGACUUCCACCGAAGGUGGCUCCUCUCCCUGUUCGGGCGGUGGUCGUCGUCGCCGGCCUACUAGCUGGGACUCCUUAAUAAACGAUUGUGCCACUGGGA